UGCCAGCAGCCGCGGUAACACGGGGGGCGCAAGCGUUAUUCGGAAUUAUUGGGCGUAAAGGGCACGCAGGCGGUCUUGUCAGUCAGAUGUGAAAGCCCGGGGCUCAACCUCGGACGUGCAUUUGAAACAGCAAGACUUGAGUACGGUAGAGGAAAGCGGAAUUCCUGGUGUAGAGGUGAAAUUCGUAGAUAUCAGGAGGAACACCGGUGGCGAAGGCGGCUUUCUGGACAGAUAUUGACGCUGAGGCGCGAAGGCGUGGGUAGCGAACGGGAUAAGAUA
rnacentral:rRNA from 1 species